rnacentral:rRNA from 1 species
UACAGAGACCUCAAGCGUUAUCCGGAAUCAUUGGGCGUAAAGCGUACCGAUAGGUGGUUUGGUUAGUCCUGGGUGAAAGCCCGAAGCUCAACUUCGGAUUUGCUUAGGAUACUGCCAGACUAGGAAGGGGCAAAGAGGAGAUUGGAACAAACGGUGUAGUAGUGAAAUGCGUUGAUAUCGUUUGGAACACCGAAAGCGAAGGCAGAUCUCUGGGUGCCACCUGACACUGCUAGGACGAAAGCGUGGGGAGCGAAUGGG